UAUAUAUAUAUAUAUAUAUAUAUAUAUCAGUGUCAUGACUAAGUAAUAAGUGAAUUAAUAUCGUUAACAUGGUUAAAGAUUGCUUACUAGAAUUAUAGUUCAGUAUGUAAUAAACAUAAUAUUACUGUGGUUAAAUGAGUAAUAAAUGUAUUAGUACCAGAAUUAGAUAUAUAACAACAAUCAUAUUUUGUGUUGGGGUUAGAUGUGUAAUAAACAUUAGUGUUGGGGUUAGAUGUGUAGUAAAUGUUUUAUUAUCAGGGUUAGAUGUGUAAUAAACAUUAGUGUUGGGGUUAGAUGUUAAAUGUUUUAUUAUCAGGGUUAGAUGUGUAAUAAACAUUAGUGUGGGGGUUAGAUGUGUAAUAAAUGUUUUAUUAUCAGGGUUAGAUGUGUAAUAAAUGUUUUAUUAUCAGGGUUAGAUGUGUAAUGUUUUAUUAUCAGGGUUAGAUGUGUAAUAAAUGUUUUAUUAUCAGGGUUAGAUGUGUAAUAACAUUAGUGUUGGGGUUAGAUGUGUAAUAAAUGUUUUAUUAUCAGGGUUAGAUGUGUAAUAAAUGUUUUAUUAUCAGGGUUAGAUGUGUAGAAAUGUUUUAUU
ensembl:lncRNA